UGAAGGACUGGGGAACAAGGCCACGGGCUCCUUGGCUCCUCCGACCUUGGCUUCACGUUUGCCACCAUCUAAGGCUUCCCUAAGGCAGCUGGGUCAAGUAUCUGGAAAUAGGUAGGCCUCUAGCACCGCCCCCUGCAUGUGUGCAGAGCCGUUGGUGUCAGAGCACGAGGCCAACGUGAACAUGGGAGGGAGCUGAGCCCACCCGAGGCCGUCUUAACCUUCCAUCUUCGGCCUGGCUGCACUCAGGGGAAAGACUACAGGCCCCGCCUCGCCUCUCCUCCGUCUGCCCUUUACUUUUUCUGGCUUUGUAUUGGCCCAUCUUGCUGUCACCCUUAUGUGCCUCCUCUUCAGGAAGGGGUGAGGAUCUACCUGAGAACAGCAUGGCGAGUGGAGAUCAACGGCUGUCACAACAGCUUGUUAAACUGGAGAGUUUGAGGAAGAUAUUCUCUUGUACCCGAUUCCAGCGUUAAACUAAAGAAAAUUAGGAGCAGUUUUAUUUGGCCAGGGUUGGGGAGGAAAGGGAGAGACUUACAGCAGGGAGAACUCAUUUUGGUGGAGUAGAGGUUGACAUCUGCCAUUCUACUCCUACCCAAACAAUUCCCAGGUGUCAACUCCUAAUUCCCAAGGAAGGCUUGAUGGAUGAAUGUGGAUGCCUGAUACUGACGAUCCACGGCGCUUCUCCCCAGGGUCUGCUGACUCUGAGAAUCUUCCUCUUCCCCCCUGCUGUGCUAUUACACCCCUUUUCAUGUGAAAAAUAAGGCAAAAGGAUCCCACGUCGCCAAAGUAAAUAGAGAAAAAUAAAACACUCUAAGCAGA